GCUGUCAUUUUAUUGGGGAUUGCCAUAUGAAGUGAUCCGGUCUUGAUGCCUGUCUCCUUUUUUUCAUGUGAACCACCAGGGAAUCUGCUUCUCCAUUGCUGAGCAGGGUACCCUAUCCAAGCAGAGGAAGAUGUGUCUGAUAUUUUCAUAAAGAAGAGCCAUGUUCUAUGGAGCAUUCCGUAUGCCCCCUCUUGAGGGAAUGAUUAUAGGGAAGUCUUAGCAUUGCUGUUCUUGUCCCUCAGAACAUGCAGAGAAACCCAAGAAGACAUGGUAUCUUCCCCAUUUGACAGAUGAGGAACUAGAGGUUCUGAAAAGGCUGCCCUGCUGCUACAGAAAGACUCUACACCUGGUCUCCGGAGAACUCUUGAAACCAGUCAAACCUAAACAGACCUACAUAGGAGUUGGAGUUAAAAUUUAACAAAAUAAAUACUAAGCAUUACCACAGGUGGCAGUCAAGCUAUCAGCGGGGGCCGUAUGCAUCUCAAGACUUGACUGAAGAACCUGCUUCCAAACUCCCUUGCAUAGUUACUGACAGGCCUCAGAUGAUCUGCUUCCAAGCUUACUCAUACCUCUUCUUCACCAGUCUACCUACAACAUGGCAGAUGAUUC